CACACGCUAAUUCACGGGACCACCCCGGUGCACGGAAGAAUCACUAAACCUGCAAUGCCACGGCCUCCCUCUGCAUCAGCACCUGAGGAAACGCAGGCUGGCCGCCAAAGCACACACCCAGGGGCGCAAAACCGCCGAUUCGAAGGGAGGAGACAGGGAUGAGUCAAGUUUAUUCAGCGCUCCUGCUUCUAGACCGGCGGUAAGAGUUGUCAAGCCACAACUCCGGAAGUCGCUGAACCCAAUUACUGGACUCAACCCUUCGCCCACGCUCAGAAGCUGCAGCCCACCAAGACUACAGAUUGUUCCCUAAGACAAGCGGACCCACCAGCCCAGGAGUUUCCAAGCUAAUUUGUAUCUAGAAACUUGGAGAGGCUUGGCGGCAAUCUGUCCCAGUUAAGACCGAGAAGUGUGGAGAAUCCAAGAGGCUAUGGAGAAGGACAUGUUGAUCAGCCGUGGACCUUCGAUUUUAAAGCGUUCUAAAUAUUUUUUUAUGAAAAAAUGAUAUCUUGAUGAAAGAUUACCUAGUAAGCGUCAAAGUUAAAUAGUGGAGGACUUGGAAAACCUUCAGAAAGACAACAUUCAAACAUUUAUAAAUAACACGACACUCAGAAAUGCAAUACCCAGUAAAUCCACAGACCUGUAUUUCCAGUCCUAAACUUUUCUCAGAAAUCCAGUUUCGUUUUACUACCUGCCUAUAGAAAUCGCUAUUUAUCUGCUUUAGAGUCCUAAACCAAGUAUCUCCAUAAGAUACUAAGUCAGUCUCCUCAUCCUUUUUGCUAUUACUCAUUCAGGCAGCCUGUUUCUCUUCUUUUCUUUCUUACCUCCAAUCCAUUCGCUAGUGUUUCCCAAGCUUUAAUGUGCCUAUUGUUAGGUAAUUAGAAUAGGACAAAGGAGUUCAAAAUGGCAAGAGGAGGAAGGGAAAAGCCCGAGAAAAUAGAGCAAAGGAAGGUCCAAGGACCCUAGUGAGGACUUCAAGUAGAACAAAUAGCACUCCUGGCUAGCCCAAUUUAGGUAGGGCAGGGCUGGGGGUGGAGAUGGGGGUGGGGGACUUAAAGGAGCCAAAAUUGGACCAAGAGGCCACUCAUCUCUUGUCUCUUUUGGGGUGGCAUGCCCUCAUACCUCGAGGCUGUGUUUUCCUUUGCUUUCUAAAUAAACCUGAGCUGUAACAUGUAACUGUA